rnacentral:rRNA from 1 species
GUGGGGAAUAUUGGACAAUGGGCGCAAGCCUGAUCCAGCCAUGCCGCGUGAGUGAUGAAGGCCCUAGGGUUGUAAAGCUCUUUCACCGAUGAAGAUAAUGACUGUAGUCGGAGAAGAAGCCCCGGCUAACUUCGUGCCAGCAGCCGCGGUAAUACGAAGGGGGCUAGCGUUGUUCGGAAUUACUGGGCGUAAAGCGCACGUAGGCGGGUAUUUAAGUCAGGGGUGAAAUCCCGGAGCUCAACUCCGGAACUGCCUUUGAUACUGGGUACCUAGAGUAUGGAAGAGGUAAGUGGAAUUCCGAGUGUAGAGGUGAAAUUCGUAGAUAUUCGGAGGAACACCAGUGGCGAAGGCGGCUUACUGGUCCAUUACUGACGCUGAGGUGCGAAAGCGUGGGGAGCAAACAGGAUUAGAUACCCCAGUAGUCC